rnacentral:rRNA from 1 species
CGCACGGGUGAGUAAUAUAUAGUUAAUGUGCCUCGAAGACCGGGAUAGCCAUUGGAAACGAUGAUUAAUACUGGAUAUACCUACUAAUCAUAAGUUUAGUAGGGAAACGUUUUUUCGCUUCGAGAUCAGACUAUAUCCCAUUAGUUAGUUGGUAGUGUAAGAGACUACCAAGGCAAUGACGGGUAGCGGGUUUGAGAGGAUGAUCCGCCACACUGGUACUGAGACACGGACCAG